rnacentral:lncRNA from 1 species
CGGAGCCGCUGCCCCCUCGCGGCCAGUCCGAGCCUGCCCUCGGGGACCCGCUCCCACCUGCCUGUGCUGCUUCCGCGCCGAGCUAGAGACGGAACCCAGUCUCGGGAACUCCCGCGGGGACUGGGGACUCCCUCCUCCUCGCUCCGGGCUGGCAGGCGAGCCAGGAAAAGAAAGCAAUUCCUCGAAAGCCAUUUUGAAAGUCCUGCUGUUGGGCCAGUAUUUAGCUCAGUGGUGCCACCGCCUGCCUUGCAAGUGCAAGGUUCUGAGUUCAAUCCCUGGUACCAAAAAAAAAAAAGUCCUGCUGUUAAUCCAUAUGAAACACCCAGAGUAAAGAAUCUUCCACUAACAGUGCUUCAGUAUUGUCCUGAGGAUAACACUUUGAUACAUGAAAAUUUCUUUAAUCAUAAAAAUACUCCAUGAAGUUUUUCAAGGGACUAUGAAGGGGAAGUACUUGUAUGUAGCUCAAGACUCAACGCUCAGUAUAGAUUUGGAUAGUAUCUUAUUUCCUCUCAUAAAAAACUGAGCUCUAGACAAUAAGAACGGGAGCCUAUGACAGCUCUAGCAGAGAGGGUUGGUUCUCUAUUCCAAUUUCUGUUCUCCUCCACCAUACAAGACAAUCUCUGACUUUUAGUUUUGAAGCCAGGUGUGAUUAUGUGUCAAAGUUCUGAAUACCUGGCGUGGAAGCUUUGUACUGUCACCCUAGCUGUGAUGAUUAGUCACGAUUGUUGGCUUGAUUGGAUUGAGAAUGCCUAGGAAAUGAUUGAAGCACACUUCUGGAUAUGUGAUGGUAUCUCUGGAAAUAAUUGGCACGUGGGUCAGUAAACUGAUGGGGGAGACCCACCCUGGAUGUGGGUGGCACCAUUCAAUAGGCUGGAGCCCCAGAUGGAGUGAAAGCCCAAGGAGGAAGCAUCCUCCCUUCUCUCUUUCCCAGCUGCCAUGACCUUCUGCCUCACUUCAGGCCCACAGCAAUGGAACCAGCUGACCACGUACUGAAACUUCUGAAACCAUGAUUUAAAAUAAACCUUUUCUUUUAAAAAUUGUUUUUCUCAUGUAUUUUGUCACAAUGAUGGAAAGCUUUCUAAUAUAU